AUGACAGUUAACAAUUUUGGUGUAUUACAAUUAUUUGUGUGUUGGCCACUCCAACUCACACUCGAUAUUUUGAAUAGAUUAGUGUGCUCUCUGGGAGAUUUCAUCCUUAUUUUAACAUAUUACUCGAGACGGUGUUUCUCACAGCGUUCUACGGGUUCAUGCGUUCUACGGGUUCAUGCGUUCUACGGGUUCAUGCGUUCUACGGGUUCAUGCGUUCUACGGGUUCAUGCGUUCUACGGGUUUACGCGUUCUACGGGUUUACGCGUUCUACGGGUUUACGCGUUCUUGCGUUCAUGUGCAAAUGCGUACACGUCUCCUACUCAGACUUUUUCCCCUACACGGGGCCUGACUUUCGCCGAUGUCACCUUCUCUUUCUUGCAAGGCAUUUUUCCAUCUAAAAGCGAUAGCCUAGGAGCAGCUGUUACUAUUAUCAUUUCAAGAAUCAACAACUCUCUGUCCUUACGCUUCCAUGUUCCUUUAUCUCAAGCUUCGGCAAUGCACGUCCCCGAAUCACCUGUUUAUUUGCGGCCUGCCAAUGCCUCAAGGGUGGUUCAGAGUCCAUCUCGCGACGGUGGUAGAAGGGUGCGGCCUACCAUCUCCCCUCUACACUCAGUGGCGCCACCAUGGGGUGGCGAGGGGUGGCUACUUUGCCACCCCUAAGACAAUUUUUAUUAUGCAUAUUUAUUUAAAAUAUAUAAUGUAGUCUAGAUUAUAUUAUAAUGUAGUCCCCCCCCCCCCCCCCCCCCCCCCCGGCCAACAAUCGCUGCCCGGGAUGUUUAUAGAUUUGCUGUGGCCCCCAUUGGCCACCCCUGGAAUAAUCUUCUGGAGGCGCCACUGUCUACACUGGCCACUCCUCCCGGAUUGGAGCGGCAACCACAGCCGCUGAACAAGGGUUGCCGGUCGCGUCUAUCAAACGGCUGGGAAGGCGGUCUUCCACAGCUUACGAAUCCUACAUCCGGUUGAAUUCAUGGUUCUUCCUCCAAGCGCACACGAUGCUCUAACGUCGGUUAAGGCAGGUUUAUCACGUUUGCUACUACAGCUGUUUAUGGCGGCCUGUUUCCAUUCUAGUUUUAGUCUUGGUGUCAAGGUGUCAUUUUUGUUUUUAUUAGUUUAGUCACGUUCAUACUCUUUCCAGUGAUAUCGAAAUUCCGUUUAGGUAUUAUCAAAGAUACAAGUGCUUAGAUUUGUUAAAUAAGGUAAACGGUCGAAAAUUGAUGUCGUUAUGUCUCAACAGUUGAAGUUCCAGUUGGACAAAAUAACGUAUUACAGUUUAUCGCCUAGUUUAGGUCAACGGAAAUGAAGACAUUUUAGCAGUCUUAUUUUGUAAAACACUUUCAGUCUCGUUUGUAUUCGCCAACAACAUUGCACUACGUAUUUAAUUAUAGUUAUUGUCAUAUGACCAGCAUUGUUCUCCUCACGCGAUAAAGGUUCGUUGAUGACGACAUUUAGUCAUAAUUUUCGGUGUCAAAAGCAACACUAUUUGCAACUACUGGUGGUGGUGGUGGUUAUCAGGUACUAAACUCAUAAAGCAAAAUUUUGCUAUAUAACUCAAGGUUAACCUGCAGCAACCCCGGCAAGUUUGACCACGUCGGUGGAUCAUCUAGAAAACACUCUUGAGUUCGGUGUCACGUUGGUGGCAUAUCAUGGAAAAAAUAAAACUCAAGGUUCGCAGCGGCGACCCCGGUGAGUGCGUUGGCCAAAGCGCAGCGGUAACAACUCGGGCACUCGUAACUAUGACCACGUCGGUGGCACGUUAUCUAUUACUCAUGGUUGACUGCAGUAACCCCGGUGAGUGCGUUGACCAUGUCAACGCACAAUUGGGGCACAGCUCAGGCACUCGUGAGUUUGUUGCACACGUCGGUGCGGUACAACACAGUACUCAACGUCCUACAUCCGGUCGAGUUCAAGGUUCUUUCUUCAAGCGCACACGAUGCUCUCUAACGUCGGUUAAGACAGGUUUUACACGUUUGCAACCAUAGCUGUUUUUGGCGGCCUGUUCCUUUCUAGUGUUAGUCUAGUCUUGUGUCCAGCUGUCAUUUUAGUUUUUAUUAGUUUUAGUUACAUUCAUACUCUUUCCAGUGUUAUCGUAAUUCCAUUUAGAUAUUAUCGAAGUUGCAAGUGCGUAGUUUUGUUAAAUAAGGUAAACGGUUGAAAAUUGAUGUUAUGUCUGGAACAGUUGAAGUUCCAGUUGAACAAAAUAACGUUAUAAGUCUUUAUCGCCUAGUUUAGGUCAACGAAAAUGAAGAGACAUUUUAGCAGUCUUAUUUUCGUAAAACACUUUUUAGUCUUGUUUUAUUCGCCAACUAUAUUGUACUAUGCUUUUAAUCACAGCUAUUGUCACACGCCCAGCAUCCACGUUGCGUCCAGUCUCGUUUUUCUCACGCGAUGAAGGCUUGUUGAUGACGACUCUUAGUCAUAAUUUUCAUUGCCAAAAGCAACACUAUUCUGGCGGCCUGUUUCCAUUCCAGGGUUAUUCUAGUCUUAGUGUCUAGCUGUUAUUUUAGUCUAUUCGUUUUAGUUACGUCUAUAUUCUUUCUAGUGUUAUCGAAAUAUAUUGCACAAUGUAUUUAACUACAGUUAUUGUCACACGCCCAGCAUGCACGUUGCGUCCUGUUUGUUUUUUGUUUGUUUGUUUUUUCUUUCUCACGCGAUAAAGGUUCGUGAUGACGAUAUUUUGUCAUUAUUUUCGUUGCUAAAAGCGACAUUAUUUGCAACUACUGGUGGUGGUGGUUAUCAGGUACUAAAUUCAUAAAGCAAAAUUCGGUUUCAUAACUCAGGUUAACCUGCAGCAACCCCGGCGAGUGUGACCACGUCGGUGGAUCAUCUAGAAAACACUCUUGAGUUCGCUGUCACGUCAGUGGCGUAAAAUAGGAAAAUAAAACUCAAGGUUGCAGCGGCAACCCCGGUGAGUGCGUGACCACGUCGGUGGCACAUCAAGGGCACUCGUGAGUAUGACCACGUCGGUGGCACGUUAUCUAGUACUCAUGGUUUGACUGCAGUAACCCCGGUGAGUGCGUUGCCCACGUCGGUGGGAACAACUCAAGCACUCGUGAGUUCGUUGCGCACGUCGGUGCGGUACAACACAGAACUCUACGUUCGUUGCAGCAAAUCCGGUGAGUGCGUUGCCCACGUCGGUGGGAACAACUCGCACUCGUGAGUUCGUUGCGCACGUCGGUGCGGUACAACACAGAACUCCACGUUCGCUGCAGCAACCCUGGUAGUGCGUUGACCACGUCGGUGGGCACUACUCAGGCACAUGCAAAUUUAAUUACCACGUCGGUGGCAUAAUAUCAAAAGCUCAAGUGCAGGGCACUCGGAGUUCAUUGACCACGUCGGUGUUUAACACGGAAGUUCACAAUAUUUGCUGCAGCAACACCGGUGAGUGCGUGACCACGUCGGUGGCACAGCAAGGGCACUCGUGAUUUCGUUGACCACGUCGGUGUUCAACACGGAACUUCACAAUAUUUGCUGCAGCAACACCGGUGAGUGCGUGACCACGUCGGUGGCACAUCAAGGGCACUCGUGAGUUCGUUGACCACAUCGGUGGUUCAACGCGAAAGCACUCAGGUCACGCAGCGACCCCGGAGAGUGAAUCGACCACGGCAGUUGGUACAGCACGAAAGCACUCGUGGCUCGCUGCGUAACAGCUGCAGAGUGCUCUAAAUUUUAAUUGAUCUCGCUGAGGUAUUUUAAGUCGACUGCUUUUACGUGAUUCAUCGAUCUCGCUGACGGUUUUAUGCUUAUCGUUUUAUGGUAUGUAUGAUUGACUCUUAAUAUGUCGUAUAUUGGGUAUGCCUUUUAUCUUCCAGAAGCAGUAUAGAUCCUUGUCCACUUCUUCUAUGGUCUCAUUACCCCCUUUCGCUAUUCUAUUUUUGGGGUUGGCUCCGCCCCUGCCAGUCCCGGCAGGACAUGCCGAGUUAUCUCCUACUUCUGGCGAAGGCCUACGUCCUCUCUUUUGGGGAAGGCUCCGCCCCUGCUAGUCCUGGCAGGAUACGCCGAGUCCGCACGUCACCCUGGAUCAGUGACGAGGCUCAUGCCAAAGAUUUACCAUGCAAAAUAUUCCCAUGUCGUUAUUUAAAUAAAUCCUGUUCAUACUUAUCGGUGAUCGAGUCUUUAUGGGAGAAACGUUAAGCUUGCUGGUAGUUCUACCAGGAGGACUCAAAUCAUGCGCGGCUGGCCGCCAAUCACCAAUCACCAGCUACCAAUCACCUGCCUACACCUGCUCUAUAAAGAGUAGUCUAACAUAUGUCUUUGCUGCUCAGGUCUUCGUUCGACGCACCUCCAUCCACCCCACCACCACCAGGUCGGCCUCAGUCUACUUGUCCAGGGGAAGGCUCCGCCCCUGCUAGUCCUGGCAGGAUACGCCGAGUCCGCACGUCACCCUGGAUCAGUGACGAGGCUCAUGCCAAAGAUUUACCAUGCAAAAUAUUCCCAUGUCGUUAUUUAAAUAAAUCCUGUUCAUACUUAUCGGUGAUCGAGUC
ensembl:lncRNA